AGAACGAACGCUGGCGGCGUGGAUAAGACAUGCAAGUCGAACGCUGACAUUUAGGUAGCAAUAUUUGAAUGUCGGAGUGGCGCAAGGGUGUGUAACACGUGGGCAAUCUGCCGUGAAGACUGGAAUAACUCGCUGAAAGGCGAGCUAAUACCGGAUGUGAACGCAAGUUCAAAGUUGGGGACCGCAAGGCCUGACGCUUUACGAUGAGCCCGCGGCCUAUCAGCUAGUUGGUGAGGUAACGGCUCACCAAGGCUAAGACGGGUAGCUGGUCUGAGAGGACGACCAGCCACACUGGAACUGAAACACGGUCCAGACUCCUACGGGAGGCAGCAGUGGGGAAUUUUGCGCAAUGGGGGAAACCCUGACGCAGCAACGCCGCGUGGAGGAUGAAGUCCCUUGGGACGUAAACUCCUUUCGAUCGGGACGAUAAUGACGGUACCGAGAGAAGAAGCCCGGCUAACUUCGCGCCAGCAGCCGCGGU
rnacentral:rRNA from 1 species